UACGUAGGUGGCAAGCGUUGUCCGGAAUUACUGGGCGUAAAGGGAGCGCAGGCGGGAAGCCAAGUCAGCUGUGAAAACUACGGGCUUAACUUGUAGACUGCAGUUGAAACUGGUUUUCUUGAGUGAAGUAGAGGUUGGCGGAAUUCCGAGUGUAGCGGUGAAAUGCGUAGAUAUUCGGAGAAACACCGGUGGCGAAGGCGGCCAACUGGGCUUUAACUGACGCUGAGGCUCGAAAGUGUGGGGAGCAAACAGG
rnacentral:rRNA from 1 species